UUCCUGAGCUGAAUAUGAAAUAAAAUUGUUUUAAUUAUGUAAGGAAUCUACCUGAGGUGGGUCCUAGGAAUAGAACUAAUAUGUUAUAAAACUAUUUCCGAAACCUGUGGGUGUUGCUUCUAGCCACAUUGAGCUGCCUGUCUGAGGUGUCCAAGUUCUCUCUCCAGGAACCAAUAAGUGGCUUUUAGUUGCCCUUGUUACAAAGUUGCAUAGGUUUCCUGUGGUCUUCCCCAAGCUUCUUUUCCCACCAACCCUGUGAGUUUUACUUUUGUGAGAACGCAUACAGACACACACACAUGGAAAUAAUAAUAUGUGUAUACUAUUAUUAC
rnacentral:lncRNA from 10 species